rnacentral:piRNA from 1 species
UUGGAGCACAUAUAGACAUUUGCUAGGUGGU